GCAUUGGUGGCUCAGUGGUAGGAUUCUCGCCUGCCACGUGGGAGACCCGGGUCUGAUUCCUGGCCAAUGCA
rnacentral:tRNA from 1 species